GACCAAAGUGUUGAGUUCAGUUCUGGGCUCCUUCCCCAGUCCUGCUAAUUAAUCUUUGGGACAUCAGAUGGCUGAAGUUGAGCAAAU